rnacentral:misc_RNA from 1 species
ACCGAAGUGCAUGACUUCGAAGUCAAAGUAAAGAAUGUACGGCGGUUCCUUGAAGAGGGCAAUAAGGUCAAGGUGACGAUCAUGUUCCGUGGCCGUGAAGUGACCCAUCCCGAGUUUGGCCGCGAUCUGCUUAAGCGGGUAUCCGAGAAGGUUGCGGAUAUUGGAUUGAUUGAGUUUUUCCCCAGUAUGCAGGGGCGUUUCAUGCAUAUGGUGUUGUCACCUAAAAAGUAAUCCGCAGAUGGGAUUUUUUUAAAUUCUGUCCGGCAGGAAGGAGUAAAUCAGAUGCCGAAAAUCAAGACCAAUCGUGGA